CCUACGUGUGGCAGCAGUGGGGAAUAUUGGACAAUGGGCGAAAGCCUGAUCCAGCCAUGCCGCGUGUAUGAAGAAGGCCUUCGGGUUGUAAAGCACUUUCAGUGGGGAAGAAAGCCUUGGGGCUAAUACCCUCGAGGAAGGACAUCACCCACAGAAGAAGCACCGGCUAACUCCGUGCCAGCAGCCGCGGUAAUACGGAGGGUGCGAGCGUUAAUCGGAAUUACUGGGCGUAAAGCGCGCGUAGGCGGUCUGAUAAGCCGGUUGUGAAAGCCCCGGGCUCAACCUGGGAACGGCAUCCGGAACUGUCAGGCUAGAGUGCAGGAGAGGAAGGUAGAAUUCCCGGUGUAGCGGUGAAAUGCGUAGAGAUCGGGAGGAAUACCAGUGGCGAAGGCGGCCUUCUGGACUGACACUGACGCUGAGGUGCGAAAGCGUGGGUAGCAAACAGGAUUAGAUACCCGGGUAGUC
rnacentral:rRNA from 1 species